AGCUGAUGUUGGCCCAAACUGUAAAGCACAAAGCUUGCUGCUUAAAAGCAAACAAACAAAAGCCAAAGAUCUACCCUUUAAGUCUGCUUUCUUUUUGGAUGAGGCUAAAAUCAUGCUUAGAAUUGUAUUUCUUGCUGCUCUGAAGGGACCCAGUCCAGAAAAGCAGGAAAGCAGCUCGGUGCACGCAGACAGCUUUACUCAUCUCAUGGAACAGCAGAACCGAUUCAGGUUCUUUCAUCCAGUGCACCCGGCCUCUGCAGCCCCCCAGCAGCAGCACCAAAGAGGGAAUGCAUCCUCAGUUCAAUCCCCUGCUCCCUCACACGCUGUCAGAAGCAUGUAACCACAACAACCGGCUUCAUCCUGGCUUUCUAGGGAGAGCAGAGGUGACAACUGCUUAAAGAGAAGGGAGGAGGAGAUAAUACUCGAGAGCUGUGCUGUCUUGUUUCCAGCCUCAAAUGCAUGCUCCGGGUGAAAACAUCUAAACUGUUUUUCAGAUUCGCAUCCCUUUCAGUGGGACCACUGAUGCUCUCAGGCUAACAGCAUUUUUAGUUCUGUACUCUUAAAAAAUGAAAUCCAAGCUGAUUGUAAUGGCUUUAUUUCCGCUGAAGAAUAUGGUUUACAGUAUGGAUAUAAAGACUGUCUUCACCUGAACGACAACUGGAAAGGUUCAUAUGCUUCAGUAAAGCACUGCUGGUUUGUUACAGACAGUAGUAUGCAUAAGAAUAAAUGUACUUUGCUAUUCCAAUUACAUGAUCAGCACUCAUGAAUGGGAGCCUGAGCUUUAUCUCCACUGACCCUGAGAAGCCCCUGGAGAUUUAUGAUGAAAUGAAGCAUAUGUUUUCUGGUGAUUUCUGGAAAAUGAAGAAACAACAACCACUCGUUCUGAUCUUCUCGGGAAACAAAGUGAUAUAUCAUCAGAGCUUCCAUAUUGCCGCAGGGGAAUUUGGAGGGUCCCUACUUUUACUCCCUCAGCACACGCGGAUUUGGCAAUGCUAUGCAGAUGAACAGCAAUUCUGGCUCUUGCUGAUAAAUCAGACCACUUUAAUAGGCUCAGGAAAAUGAUGUGGAAUGUAAAGUGUUCUGCCCUUGUAACCAGCACGGUGGAGCCGCAGGACAUGUUGGAAAUGACACAAUGAACCACUGUGUGCUCUUAUUUGCAGAGUACCUGGACAUAAUGAUGUGGGAAGGAGUGCAGAAGCUUUGCAUUUCCUGGAAACAUUCUCAUCCGAGGGCAGCUGUCAGUUCUUUAGCAAAAGAGGUGGCUGAAGGACAGAGGGAGAAACCUAUGAGGAACAAAAGCAUCCAAGGAGCAGCCAGCAUGAUGGACUACGGUAAUUAGGAAGCUCUAAGACCUGUCUAACAUUUUAGGAGAACAAACUGAACUCUGGGCAGUGCCAGGCACAGGGUGUGUGAAACAGGCAUGAAGCCAUCCACGCCCAACAUUCCACAGCCACCCCUCCAGCCUCUGCCCAGCAAGCUGCACAACAGCCCCAGCACCAACUGGUAAACCAGAAGGUUUGAGAAGGGUCUGUCACUGCAGUGCUGUGCAAACGGAUGGAUACAAAUUCUCUUCACUUGUGCUCUUUUAAGCACAUGUGCAUUGCAGGUCUCUUUUGACAUCUCAGGAUAAACGGAUAUACUCUAAAUAAGCGCUAAUUUUAAGUCUUGAUUACUUUACUUUCUUGAGCUACAAGCUUGUUGAUGGUGUUUUCAGAGCUAUUCAGGAACUCCCUUUUCUUCCUUCUCCAUCCUCACGCAGCACAAUUCUCCAUUUUCUUUUUGAGUCACUCCCUCUUGCUCCUUUCUUCGAUUAUUUUAUUCUCCAAGACUUUGGCAAAAGUUAUCAUUCCUGAGAGAGCACCCAUGGUGCAGGAACUAUUGGAUUGCAUUAGAGAGAUGGGCUGAGAUUAAUGUAAACCACAGAGAGUGGAUUAGGAGAACAAUGAAAAAACUCUAAUGAGGUUUGCACAGCCUCGUUCACUUGAGGAGCAAAUUUCUUGACACUUCCCCUUGGAGUUCAAGAUGACACUUUAAUCUCACUAUUAAAAACAUGACCUAAGGAUCGACCAGGGUGGAGCAUGGGAAACAAUGUCCUUUUAAUUGUCUACUCUGGAGUAACAAUCUACUUAUGAUAUAA
ensembl:lncRNA